rnacentral:lncRNA from 1 species
GAGGGUCCUACACCAGCAGUCUUCUUCCUAGUCCUGGAUGUCAUCAUUUCAGCCACAGUUUUUCCUUUCCUAGUCUUCAAUUUCCUAGCAGCACUUGGUUUCACAUGGUGAACCAAAGUGUCAUCCUCUUCCUCUGAAUAUCAUUUCAGCCACAGUUUUUCCUUUCCUAGUCUUCAAUUUCCUAGCAGCACUUGGUUUCACAUGGUGAACCA